GACGAACGCUGGCGGCGUGCCUAAUACAUGCAAGUCGAGCGCAGGAAACCGUCUGAACCCUUCGGGGGGACGACGGUGGAAUGAGCGGCGGACGGGUGAGUAACACGUAAAGAACCUGCCCACGGGUCUGGGAUAACCACGAGAAAUCGGGGCUAAUACCGGACGGGUCAUCGGACCGCAUGGUCCGAGGAUGAAAGGCGCUCCGGCGUCGCCCGUGGAUGGCUUUGCGGUGCAUUAGCUAGUUGGUGGGGUAACGGCCCACCAAGGCGACGAUGCAGAGCCGACCUGAGAGGGUGAUCGGCCACACUGGGACUGAGACACGGCCCAGACUCCUACGGGAGGCAGCAGUUGGGAAUCUUCCACAAUGGACGAAAGUCUGAUGGGGCAACGCCGCGUGAACGAUGAAGGCCCUCGGGUCGUAAAGUUCUGUUGUAAGGGAAGAACAAGUGCCGCAGGCAAUGGCGGCACCUUGACGGUACCUUGCGAGAAAGCCACGGCUAACUACGUGCCAGCAGCCGCCGUAAGAC
rnacentral:rRNA from 1 species